AAUAGGACUGCGGUUCUAUUUUGUUGGUUUCUAGGACCGAAGUAAUGAUUAAUAGGGAUAGUUGGGGCCGUUUGUAUUCCGUUGUCAGAGGUGAAAUUCUUGGAUUUAUGGAAGACGAACUACUGCGAAAGCAUUUACCAAGGAUGUUUUCAUUAAUCAAGAACGAAAGUUAGGGGAUCGAAGAUGAUUAGAUACCAUCGUAGUCUUAACCAUAAACUAUGCCGACUAGGGAUCGGACGGUGGUUUUUUUAUGCCCCGUUCGGCACCUUACGAGAAAUCAAAGUGUUUGGGCUCGGGGGGGAGUAUGGUCGCAAGGCUGAAACUUAAAGAAAUUG
rnacentral:rRNA from 1 species